ensembl:rRNA 5S_rRNA 5S ribosomal RNA
UCAAGCAGUUACUUGGCGUACUGGCACUUGUGGUUAAAGGCAUUAACAGUACAUAAGUACACUGAAGCUAAGCAGGGUUGAGCCUGGUCAGUACCUGUAUGGGAGACCUCCUGGGAAAAAUUAGGUUGCUGCUGGAA